CCUACGAGAGGCAGCAGUGGGGAAUAUUGGACAAUGGGCGAAAGCCUGAUCCAGCCAUGCCGCGUGUGUGAAGAAGGCCUUCGGGUUGUAAAGCACUUUCAGUGGGGAAGAAAGCCUUGGGGCUAAUACCCUCGAGGAAGGACAUCACCCACAGAAGAAGCACCGGCUAACUCCGUGCCAGCAGCCGCGGUAAUACGGAGGGUGCGAGCGUUAAUCGGAAUUACUGGGCGUAAAGCGCGCGUAGGCGGUCUGAUAAGCCGGUUGUGAAAGCCCCGGGCUCAACCUGGGAACGGCAUCCGGAACUGUCAGGCUAGAGUGCAGGAGAGGAAGGUAGAAUUCCCGGUGUAGCGGUGAAAUGCGUAGAGAUCGGGAGGAAUACCAGUGGCGAAGGCGGCCUUCUGGACUGACACUGACGCUGAGGUGCGAAAGCGUGGGUAGCAAACAGGAUUAGAUACCCUUGUAGUC
rnacentral:rRNA from 1 species